UACGGAGGGUGCAAGCGUUAUCCGGAUUCACUGGGUUUAAAGGGUGCGUAGGUGGGUUGGUAAGUCAGUGGUGAAAUCUCCGUGCUUAACAUGGAAACUGCCAUUGAUACUACUGGUCUUGAAUUUUCCGGAGGUUAAGCGGAAUAUGUCAUGUAGCGGUGAAAAUGCUUAGAUAUGACACAGAACACCGAUUGCGAAGGCAGCUCACUAAACUGUAACUGACGCUGAGGCACGAAAGCGUGGGGAGCAAACAGG
rnacentral:rRNA from 1 species